rnacentral:rRNA from 1 species
AGAUUGAACGCUGGCGGCAUGCCUUACACAUGCAAGUCGAACGGCAGCACGGGAGCAAUCCUGGUGGCGAGUGGCGAACGGGUGAGUAAUAUAUCGGAACGUGCCCAGUCGUGGGGGAUAACGUAGAGAAAUUUACGCUAAUACCGCAUACGAUCUAAGGAUGAAAGCGGGGGACCUUCGGGCCUCGCGCGAUUGGAGCGGCUGAUAUCAGAUUAGGUUGUUGGUGAGGUAAAAGCUCACCAAGCCGACGAUCUGUAGCUGGUUUGAGAGAACGACCAGCCACACUGGACUGAGACACGGCCAGACUCCUACGGAGGCAGCAGUGGGAAUUUUGGACAAUGGGCGAAAGCCUGAUCCAGUCAAUGCCGCGUGCAGGGAGAAGGCCUUCGGUGUAACUGCUUUGUACGAAGAAAGGUCUGACCUAAUACGG